rnacentral:rRNA from 1 species
CGAGUUGCAGACCCCAAUCCGAACUAAGACCGGCUUUCAGCGAUUCGCUCCACCUCACAGUGUCGCUGCGCAUUGUACCGACCAUUGUAGCACGUGUGAAGCCCUGGACAUAAGGGGCAUGAUGAUUUGACGUCAUCCCCACCUUCCUCCGAGUUGACCCCGGCAGUCUCUCAUGAGUCCCCACCAUAACGUGCUGGCAACAUAAGACAAGGGUUGCGCUCGUUGCGGGACUUAACCCAACAUCUCACGACACGAGCUGACGACAACCAUGCACCACCUGUAUACAAGCCACAAGGGAAACUACAUCUCUGCAGCAAUCCUGUAUAUGUCAAGCCCAGGUAAGGUUCUUCGCGUUGCAUCGAAUUAAUCCACAUGCUCCGCCGCUUGUGCGGGCCCCCGUCAAUUCCUUUGAGUUUUAGCCUUGCGGCCGUACUCCCCAGGCGGGGCGCUUAAUGCGUUAGCUACGGCACGAACCCCGUGGAAGGGACUCACACCUAGCGCCCACCGUUUACGGCAUGGACUACCAGGGUAUCUAAUCCUGUUCGCUACCCAUGCUUUCGCUCCUCAGCGUCAGUAACUGCCCAGAGACCUGCCUUCGCCAUCGGGGGUUCCUCCUGAUAUCUGCGCAUUUCACCGCUACACCAGGAAUUCCAGUCUCCCCUACAGCACUCAAGUCAGCCCGUAUCGCCUGCACGCCCGGAGUUAAGCCCCGGAAUUUCACAGACGACGCGACAAACCACCUACGAGCUCUUUA